rnacentral:rRNA from 1 species
GAUGAGCGCUGGCGGCGUGCCUAAUACAUGCCAGUCGAGCGAACAGACGAGGAGCUUGCUCCUCUGACGUUAGCGGCGGACGGGUGAGUAACACGUGGAUAACCUACCUAUAAGACUGGGAUAACUUCGGGAAACCGGAGCUAAUACCGGAUAAUAUAUUGAACCGCAUGGUUCAAUAGUGAAAGACGGUUUUGCUGUCACUUAUAGAUGGAUCCGCGCCGCAUUAGCUAGUUGGUAAGGUAACGGCUUACCAAGGCAACGAUGCGUAGCCGACCUGAGAGGGUGAUCGGCCGCACUGGAACUGAGACACGGUCCAGACUCCUACGGGAGGCAGCAGUAGGGAAUCUUCCGCAAUGGGCGAAAGCCUGACGGAGCAACGCCGCGUGAGUGAUGAAGGUCUUCGGAUCGUAAAACUCUGUUAUUAGGGAAGAACAAAUGUGUAAGUAACUAUGCACGUCUUGACGGUACCUAAUCAGAAAGCCACGGCUAACUACGUG